rnacentral:rRNA from 1 species
AGUGAACGCUGGCGGUAGGCCUAACACAUGCAAGUCGAACGGCAGCACAGUAAGAGCUUGCUCUUACGGGUGGCGAGUGGCGGACGGGUGAGGAAUACAUCGGAAUCUACUUUUUCGUGGGGGAUAACGUAGGGAAACUUACGCUAAUACCUCAUACGACAUACGGGUGAAAGCAGUGGAUCUUCGGACCUUGCGCGAUUGAAUGAGCCGAUGUCGGAUUAGCUAGUUGGCGGGGUAAAGGCCCACCAAGGCGACGAUCCGUAGCUGGUCUGAGAGGAUGAUCAGCCACACUGGAACUGAGACACGGUCCAGACUCCUACGGGAGGCAGCAGUGGGGAAUAUUGGACAAUGGGCGCAAGCCUGAUCCAGCCAUACCGCGUGGGUGAAGAAGGCCUUCGGGUUGUAAAGCCCUUUUGUUGGGAAAGAAAAGCAGCAGGUUAAUACCCCGCUGUUCUGACGGUACCCAAAGAAUAAGCACCGGCUAACUUCGUG